GUCUCUGCCACCCUACAAGGGGUGGUGGUGUUGGUGGGCUGGGAGCUGAGGCCCUACUCUUAUGGUGAUUCACAGUAACUCUGCACGAAUUGGGGGCUUUCGUCUUCGAUGGUGCAAACGAGGUUCCGCCCUAUCAACUUUCGAAGGUAGUGUAGGGGACUACCUUGGUUGUAACGGGUCACGGGGAAUUAGGGUUCGAUUCCGGAGAGGGAGCCUGAGAAACGGCUACCACUUCCAAGGAAGGCAGCAGGCGCGCAAAUUACCCAAUCCCGAUACGGGGAGGUAGUGACAAGAAAUAUCGAUGUAGGACCCUUUUGGGUACUACGAUCGAAAUGAGAACAAUUUAAAAUCCUUAUCGAGGAACCAUUGGAGGGCAAGUCUGGUGCCAGCAGCCGCGGUAAUUCCAGCUCCAAUAGUGUAUAUUAGAGUUGUUGCGGUUAAAAAGCUCGUAGUUGAACUCUGGGCUUGGGAAGUUGUCCUCCGUUCCCUUUGGUUCCGGGUGGCGGGUGUCUUGUGCCUGUUUCUGCCCACCACGGGUGGGGGCAGGUGCGCGGGUGCCACGGUUGUCCGGGGCUAUCUGGGGGGGCGGGCAAAAGGGCUUCUUCUCUAACCGUUCACACAAGGCGUUCGUCACAAUUAUGGUCCCUCGGUUGGGCCUGCUCCGGCCGGUGGAUCGUGUCGUUCACUUUACUUUGAAGAGAUUCGAGUGUUUAAAGCAGGCAAUAUUUGUAUCCGAAGACAUUAGCAUGGGAUAAUGAAAGAAGACUCAUCCUUACCUUCAUUGGUUCUUAAGGAGUGGGUAAUGAUUAAUAGGGACAGUCGGGGUCGGUGGUACUGAGUGGCUAGAGGUGAAAUUCUAUGACCCACUCAAGACCGACAACUGCGAAAGCAUUCGACAAGGAUGUUUUCAUUGAUCAAGAACGAAAGUUGAGGGAUCGAAGAUGAUCAGGUACCGUCGUAGUCUCAACUGUAAACGAUGUCGACUCGGGAUUGGAGGGCGUUACAUGGAUGACCCCUCCAGCACCGUGUGAGAAAUCAUAAGUAACCAGACUCCGGGGGGAGUAUGGUCGCAAGGCUGAAACUUAAAGGAAUUGACGGAAGGGCACCACCAGGAGUGGAGUCUGCGGCUUAAUUUGACCCAACACGGGGAAACUUACCAAGUCCGAACACGACGAGGAUUGACAGAUUAAUAGCUCUUUCUUGAUUUUGUGGAGAGUGGUGCAUGGCCGUUUUUAGUUGGUGGAGUGAUCCGUCUGGUUAAUUCCGUUAACGAACGAGACCUUAACCUGC
rnacentral:rRNA from 1 species